rnacentral:lncRNA from 1 species
UGAAAGAUAAUAUUUACAAUUCCUUAUUUUAAACCAGAUUUUGAUUUCAGCAACUCUAGAGUUUGAGAAAGAGGAUGACAUUGACGGUCGUGCCACACUUCUGCAGAUAAUGCUUGUUCAAAGUUCUUUUUUAUCUUGAUAUGGCAGAGAACUCCUACAGUAUUGGCUAUUGCCAUUGGCCCAUUGAGUAUGCAUCUAUUUUUCUGGAUGGGAAAUCAGGAGGAAAAAUAGGUGGUGGAUUUUUCGUGGUUGUUCGACCAUUUUCAUGGCGGAUUUCGUCAGGAGGAAAAAGGUUUACGGAUGAUAUUUAGAGGGGAUCUUUUACUAUUUUGGAGAAAACAUGUUGUAUUUGCGAAAGAGGGUAUAGUGUAAUACUUAUAAUUUUCUUCAUUUUUCCUGAAAGGCAAUCUUUACAAUUUCUUAUUUUAAACCAAAUUUUGAUUUCAGCAACUCUAGAGUUUGAGAAAGAGGAUGACAUUGACGGUCGUGCCACACUUUUGCAGAUAAUGCUUGUUCAAAGUUCUUUUUUAUCUUGAUAUGACAGAGAACUCCUACAGUAUUGGCUAUUGCCAUUGGCCCAUUGAGUAUCAUCUAUUUUCCUGGGUGGGAAAUU